GACGAACGCUGGCGGCGUGCUUAACACAUGCAAGUCGAACGGAAAGGCCCCUUCGGGGGUACUCGAGUGGCGAACAGGUGAGUAACACGUGAGUAACCUGCCCUUGACUUCGGGAUAACUUCAGGAAACUGGGGCUAAUACCGGAUAGGAAUCCUUGCUGCAUGGUGGGGGUUGGAAAGCUUCGGCGGUUUUGGAUGGACUCGCGGCUUAUCAGCUUGUUGGUGGGGUAGUGGCUUACCAAGGCUUUGACGGGUAGCCGGCCUGAGAGGGCGACCGGCCACAUUGGGACUGAGAUACGGCCCAGACUCCUACGGGAGGCAGCAGUGGGGAAUAUUGCACAAUGGGCGGAAGCCUGAUGCAGCAACGCCGCGUGCGGGAUGACGGCCUUCGGGUUGUAAACCGCUUUGAGCAGGGGCGAAGCUUGUGGUGACGGUACCUGCAGAAGAAGCACCGGCUAACUACGUG
rnacentral:rRNA from 1 species